rnacentral:rRNA from 1 species
GACGAAGGGGGCUAGCGUUGUUCGGAAUUACUGGGCGUAAAGCGUGUGUAGGUGGUUUUCCAAGUUGGAUGUGAAAGCCUUGAGCUCAACUCAAGAAAUGCAUUCAGGACUGGAAGACUAGAGGACCGGAGAGGAUAGUGGAAUUCCCAGUGUAGUGGUGAAAUACGUAGAGAUUGGGAAGAACACCAGUGGCGAAGGCGGCUAUCUGGACGGUUUCUGACACUAAGACUCGAAAGCGUGGGGAGCAAACAGG